rnacentral:rRNA from 1 species
AGAGUUUGAUCCUGGCUCAGGAUGAACGCUAGCGGCAGGCCUAACACAUGCAAGUCGAACGGUAAGGCCCUUUCGGGGGUACACGAGUGGCGCACGGGUGAGUAACGCGUAUGCAACCUACCUUUUACAGGGGUAUAGCUUCCGGAAACGGAAAUUAAUCCCCCAUAGUCCAUAAGGGCCGCAUGGUUUUUAUGGUAAAGCUGCGGCGGUAGAAGAUGGGCAUGCGUGACAUUAGAUAGUUGGUAGGGUAACGGCCUACCAAGUCGACGAUGUCUAGGGGGUCUGAGAGGAUGGUCCCCCACACUGGUACUGAGACACGGACCAGACUCCUACGGGAGGCAGCAGUGAGGAAUAUUGGGCAAUGGGCGAGAGCCUGACCCAGCCAUGCCGCGUGCAGGAUGACGGCCCUAUGGGUUGUAAACUGCUUUUGUACGGGAAGAAUAGGCACCACGAGUGGUGAUUUGACGGUACCGUACGAAUAAGCACCGGCUAACUCCGUGCCAGCAGCCGCGGUAAUACGGAGGGUGCAGGCGUUAUCCGGAUUUAUUGGGUUUAAAGGGUGCGUAGGCGGGCUAGUAAGUCAGUGGUGAAAUCUUGUGGCUCAACCAUGAAAUUGCCAUUGAUACUGUUGGCCUUGAGUAUAGUUGAGGUAGGCGGAAUGUGUCAUGUAGCGGUGAAAUGCUUAGAUAUGACCCAGAACACCGAUUGCGUAGGCAGCCUGCUAAACUAUCACUGACGCUGAUGCACGAAAGCGUGGGGAUCGAACAGGAUUAGAUACCCUGGUAGUCCACGCCGUAAACGAUGAUUACUCGUUGUGUGCGAUAUACAGUACGCGACUGAGCGAAAGCAUUAAGUAAUCCACCUGGGGAGUACGGCCGCAAGGUUGAAACUCAAAGGAAUUGACGGGGGCCCGCACAAGCGGAGGAACAUGUGGUUUAAUUCGAUGAUACGCGAGGAACCUUACCUGGGCUUAAAUGUAGAGUGCUUUUUAGCGAAAGCUGAUUUUCCUUCGGGACGCUUUACAAGGUGCUGCAUGGUUGUCGUCAGCUCGUGCCGUGAGGUGUCGGGUUAAGUCCCAUAACGAGCGCAACCCCUACCGUUAGUUGCCAUCGGGUCAUGCCGGGGACUCUAGCGGGACUGCCAGUGUAAACUGUGAGGAAGGUGGGGAUGACGUCAAAUCAGCACGGCCCUUAUGCCCAGGGCUACACACGUGUUACAAUGGCCGGUACAGAGGGCAGCUACUGCGCGAGCAGGUGCGAAUCCCCAAAGCCGGUCUCAGUUCGGAUCGGAGUCUGCAACUCGACUCCGUGAAGUUGGAUUCGCUAGUAAUCGUAUAUCAGCAAUGAUACGGUGAUUACGUUCCCGGGCCUUGUACACACCGCCCGUCAAGCCAUGGAAGCUGGGGGUACCUGAAGUCUGUAACCGCAAGGAGCGGCCUAGGGUAAAACUAGUGACUGGGGCUAAGUCGUAACAAGGUA